AUGGGAACAUAUAGCUGGAGCAGGGGGUCCCUGAGUGCUGGGAGGGGGUUGGAUUGCAUUUUAGCGUAGGGUGGUCCGAGUAGGCUUUGCUGGAAAGCAACAGUUGAGCCAAGUGUUGAAGGAGGUGAUGGAGUCACCAGGCAGCUAUUUGACGGAGGAGCCAUCCGGACAGAGGGAGCAGCCCGCGCACAGAUUGAGGCAAGAGUGUGCCUGACGUGUUCAAUGAACAGCUAAAUGGUUGGAGCAGAGUAAGUGAGAGCUAGAGUAGCAGGAAAUGUGGUCAGAGAGGUAACAGGGAGCCAGGCCGUGCAGGGCCUUGUAGGCCACUAGAAAUUCUUUGGCUUUUGCUGUACAUGAGAUCUGAAGUCCCUGAAGGCUUGCCUUCUUAGAGGAGUGACAAGUUCUGAGUUCUGUGUUGCUAGGAGCCCUGCGGCUGCUUGGUGGUGAGGAGGCUGGAGUUGGCCUCGGGGUGAAGCAGAGAGACCAGCUAAGAGGGCGCUGCCCAGUAAUCCUGGUGACAGAUGGUGGGCCCUGUGGGUGAAGUCUGUGUGCGCUUCUUGUCCUGCAGAGGGAACAAGCAGGACGAGGAGGAGAACCAGGUGUCAGCGUGAAGAAAAUGAGAGCGCUGGGGAGAACGAAGGCAGGCUGUUUCCUUCAGGUAUGUAUUAGUAAUCGCUGACAACUGUGGAGUGUGCACUCUGUGCUGGGGACUGUGCUGAGCACUUCACGUUCUGUACACGAGGAAUCUGAGGCCAAAGGAGGUUGGAGAACUCGCCUGAGUGCCCUAAGCCAAGGAGAGGCAGCAGUGGGAUGUGUGCCUGAGCAGCCUGGCUCCUUCUUCGCUGCCCAGAAGCACAGGGUGGCGCUCAGUGGCCAGAGCCUGGUGACCUGCUGAGUGGAGACACCCAUCCUUCUGCUCCUUCC
rnacentral:lncRNA from 1 species